rnacentral:rRNA from 1 species
UACGAAGGGGGCUAGCGUUGCUCGGAAUCACUGGGCGUAAAGCGCACGUAGGCGGAUCUUUUAAGUCAGGGGGUGAAAUCCCAAGGCUCAACCUUGGAACUGCCUUUGAUACUGGGGAUCUCGAGUCCGGAAGAGGUUGGUGGAACUGCGAGUGUAGAGGUGAAAUUCGUAGAUAUUCGCAAGAACACCAGUGGCGAAGGCGGCCAACUGGUCCGGUACUGACGCUGAGGUGCGAAAAGCGUGGGGAGCAAACAGGG